rnacentral:rRNA from 1 species
UGGGGAAUUUUGGACAAUGGGCGAAAGCCUGAUCCAGCAAUGCCGCGUGUGUGAAGAAGGCCUUCGGGUUGUAAAGCACUUUCAGCGAGGAGGAAGGUGGUGAACUUAAUACGUUCAUCAAUUGACGUUACUCGCAGAAGAAGCACCGGCUAACUCCGUGCCAGCAGCCGCGGUAAUACGGAGGGUGCAAGCGUUAAUCGGAAUUACUGGGCGUAAAGCGCACGCAGGCGGUUUGUUAAGUCAGAUGUGAAAUCCCCGGGCUCAACCUGGGAACUGCAUUUGAAACUGGCAAGCUAGAGUCUCGUAGAGGGGGGUAGAAUUCCAGGUGUAGCGGUGAAAUGCGUAGAGAUCUGGAGGAAUACCGGUGGCGAAGGCGGCCCCCUGGACGAAGACUGACGCUCAGGUGCGAAAGCGUGGGGAGCAAACAGAUUAGAUACCCUGGUAGUCAGCGCUGUAAACGAUGUCGAUUUUGGAGGUUGUGCCCCUUGAGGCGUGGCUUCCGGAGCUAACGCGUUAAAUCGACCGCCUGGGGAGUACGG